UAAGAAUCUUCCGCAAUGGGCGAAAGCCUGACGGAGCGAUGCCGCGUGAUCGAUGAAGGUCGAGAGAUUGUAAAGAUCUUUUCCAACUGAGGAAUAAGUGGACCAGGGAAUGGGUUCAUGAUGACGUUAAGUUGGGAAUAAGCCCCGGCUAAUUACGUGCCAGCAGCCGCGGUAACACGUAAGGGGCGAGCGUUGUUCGGAAUUAUUGGGCGUAAAGGGCACGCAGGCGGUUUUACAAGUCCGAUGUUAAAGACCUGGGCUUAACUCAGGGAAUGCGUUGGAAACUGUAAGACUAGAAUCUUGGAGGGGGAGUCGGAAUUCCUAGUGUAGGGGUGAAAUCUGUUGAUAUUAGGAAGAACACCGGUGGCGAAGGCGGACUCCUGGCCGAAGAUUGACGCUGAGGUGCGAAAGCAUAGGGAGCAAAC
rnacentral:rRNA from 1 species